rnacentral:rRNA from 1 species
CAGUCGCCGCGGUAAUACGGAGGGCGCGAGCGUUACCCGGAUUUACUGGGCGUAAAGGGCGUGUAGGCGGCCUGGGGCGUCCCAUGUGAAAGGCCACGGCUCAACCGUGGAGGAGCGUGGGAUACGCUCAGGCUAGAGGGUGGGAGAGGGUGGUGGAAUUCCCGGAGUAGCGGUGAGAUGCGCAGAUACCGGGAGGAACGCCGAUGGCGAAGGCAGCCACCUGGUCCACUUCUGACGCUGAGGCGCGAAAGCGUGGGGAGCAAACCGGAUUAGAUACCCGGGUAGUCCCUGUCUCUUAUAC